GGUUGUCAUGCCAAUGGCACUGCCCGGUAGCUAAAUGCGGAAGAGAUAAGUGCUGAAAGCAUCUAAGCACGAAACUUGCCCCGAGAUGAGUUCUCCCUGAGACUUAAAGUCUCCUGAAGGAACGUUGAAGACGACGACGUUGAUAGGCCGGGUGUGUAAGCGCAGCGAUGCGUUGAGCUAACCGGUACUAAUGAACCGUGAGGCUUAACCUUA
rnacentral:rRNA from 1 species